rnacentral:rRNA from 1 species
GCUCACGCAUCGAUGAAGAACGCAGCCAGCUGCGAUAAGUAGUGUGAAUUGCAGAAUUCAGUGAAUCAUCGAAUCUUUGAACGCAAAUGGCGCUCUUGGGUUCUCCCAGGAGCAUGUCUGUCUGAGUGUCGGAUAUCAUCCAACGCACCUUGUCGUGCGGCGUUGAGGCGUCACGGCCCUUCUGGCGGCCGUGUCCCUUGAAAGUCAGUGAGACUCGCCGCGGCACGGGUUCGUUCCCUGCACACUCGCGGAGGCUAAAAAUGCUUUUGCCCUUCGCGUGCACGGGAGCGGCCCGCCACCAAACAAACAAA